rnacentral:rRNA from 1 species
AGAGUUUGAUCAUGGCUCAGGACGAACGCUGGCGGCGUGCUUAACACAUGCAAGUCGAACGGAAAGGCCCUGCUUUUGUGGGGUGCUCGAGUGGCGAACGGGUGAGUAACACGUGAGUAACCUGCCCUUGACUUUGGGAUAACUUCAGGAAACUGGGGCUAAUACCGGAUAGGAGCUCCUGCUGCAUGGUGGGGGUUGGAAAGUUUCGGCGGUUGGGGAUGGACUCGCGGCUUAUCAGCUUGUUGGUGGGGUAGUGGCUUUCCAACGCUUUGCCGGGUAGCCCGCCUGUGCGGGUGCCCGGCCCCUUUUUUUCCGAGAUACAGCCCAGACUCCUACUGCGGACUCC